CCUACGGGUGGCAGCAGUGAGGAAUAUUGGUCAAUGGCCGGAAGGCUGAACCAGCCAUGCCGCGUGAAGGUCAGUGCCCUAUGGGCGUUAAACUUCUUUUGUGCGGGAGCAAUAAUGGUCACGUGUGGCCAGACGAGAGUACCGUACGAAUAAGCAUCGGCUAACUCCGUGCCAGCAGCCGCGGUAAUACGGGGGAUGCAAGCGUUAUCCGGAUUUAUUGGGUUUAAAGGGUGCGUAGGCUGUGAGGUAAGUCAGCGGUGAAAUGCCCCCGCUCAACGGGGUGAAGUGCCAUUGAUACUGGCUGGCUGGAAUGCGGAUGCCGUGGGAGGAAUGUGUGGUGUAGCGGUGAAAUGCAUAGAUAUCACACAGAACACCGAUUGCGAAAGCAUCUCACGAAUCCGCGAUUGACGCUGAUGCACGAAAGCGUGGGUAUCAAACAGGAUUAGAUACCCUUGUAGUC
rnacentral:rRNA from 1 species